AGUGAACGCUGGCGGCGUGGAUUAGGCAUGCAAGUYGAGCGAUCUUUUYUCCCAGGUUGGCGAGACCGCAAGGCAAACUUUCAAGGGAAGGAAGAUAUAGCGCAGACUGGUGAGUAACACGUGAGUHAUUUACCCCUAAGUCGGGGAUAGCCUUACGAHAGAAGGGUAAUACCCGAUGUGUCCAAUCUAUCACAAGGUGGGUUGGGUAAAGAUGGCUCGCAGAGUUGUUGUUUAGGGAUGAGCUCGCGUCCUAUCAGCUAGUUGGCAGGGUAAUGGCCUCCAAGGCUUUUBACGGGUAGCUGGCCUGAGAGGGUGGUCAGCCACACGGGGACUGAGACCUGCCCCGACUCCUACGGGAGGCUGCAGUCGAGGAUCUUUAGCAAUGGGCGAAAGCCUGCUAUGCGACGCCGCGUGAGGGAUGAAGGAUUUCGGUUCGUAAACCUCUUUCGAUGGGGAGAAAAUAUGCUAUGAAAGUAGCAGACUGACGGUACCCAGAGAAGAAGCCACGGCUAACUCGUGCCAGCAGCCGCGGUAAUACGAGGGUGGCGAGCGUUACUCGGAUUUAUUGGGUGUAAGGGCAGGUAGGUGGCUACGUAAGUUGGAGGUGAAANNCUNCGNCUUAACCGCAGAACUCCVUCAAAACUGCGCAGCVUGAGGCUAGAAGAGGGGAGCGGAAUUCCCGGUGUAAGGGUAAAUCUGUAGAUANCGGGAGCAACACCAGUGNCGAAKGCGCUCUCUAGCCGAAGA
rnacentral:rRNA from 1 species